rnacentral:rRNA from 1 species
GAACGCUGGCGGCAGGCCUAACACAUGCAGGUUCGAGCGGAUGAGGGGAGCUUGCUCCCUGAUUUAGCGGCGGACGGGCGAGUAAUGCCUAGGAAUCUGCCUGGUAGUGGGGGAUAACGUUCCGAAAGGAACGCUAAUACCGCAUACGUCCUACGGGAGAAAGCAGGGGACCUUCGGGCCUUGCGCUAUCAGAUGAGCCUAGGUCGGAUUAGCUAGUUGGUGAGGUAAUGGCUCACCAAGGCGACGAUCCGUAACUGGUCUGAGAGGAUGAUCAGUCACACUGGAACUGAGACACGGUCCAGACUCCUACGGGAGGCAGCAGUGGGGAAUAUUGGACAAUGGGCGAAAGCCUGAUCCAGCCAUGCCGCGUGUGUGAAGAAGGUCUUCGGAUUGUAAAGCACUUUAAGUUGGGAGGAAGGGCAUUAACCUAAUACGUUAGUGUUUUGACGUUACCAACAGAAUAAGCACCGGCUAACUUCGUGCCAGCAGCCGCGGUAAUACGAAGGGUGCAAGCGUUAAUCGGAAUUACUGGGCGUAAAGCGCGCGUAGGUGGUUCGUUAAGUUGGAUGUGAAAGCCCCGGGCUCAACCUGGGAACUGCAUCCAAAACUGGCGAGCUAGAGUACGGUAGAGGGUGGUGGAAUUUCCUGUGUAGCGGUGAAAUGCGUAGAUAUAGGAAGGAACACCAGUGGCGAAGGCGACCACCUGGACUGAUACUGACACUAGACGUGCGAA